rnacentral:rRNA from 1 species
AUUGAACGCUGGCGGCAUGCCUAACACAUGCAAGUCGAACGAGUGGCGGACGGGUGAGUAAUGUCUGGGAACCUGCCUGAUGGAGGGGGAUAACUACUGGAAACGUUAGCUAAUACCGCAUACCAUCAGAUGUGCCCAGAUGGGAUUAGCUAGUUGGUGGGGUAACGGCUCACCAAGGCGACGAUCCCUAGCUGGUCUGAGAGGAUGACCCGCCACACUGGAACUGAGACACGGUCCAGACUCCUACGUGAGGCAGCAGUGGGGAAUAUUGCACAAUGGGCGCAAGCCUGAUGCAGCCAUGCCGCGUGUAUGAAGAAGGCUUUCGGGUUGUAAAGUACUUUCAGCGGGGAGGCGUUACCCGCAGAGGAAGCACCGGCUAACUCCGUGCCAGCAGCCGCGGUAAUUC